AGCGAACGCUGGCGGCAGGCCUAACACAUGCAAGUCGAACGAACCUUUCGGGGUUAGUGGCGGACGGGUGAGUACCACGUGGGAACGUGCCUUUAGGUUCGGAAUAACUCAGGGAAACUUGUGCUAAUACCGAAUGUGCCCUUCGGGGGAAAGAUUUAUCGCCUUUAGAUCGGCCCGCGUCUGAUUAGCUAGUUGGUUGAGGUAAUGGCUCACCAAGGCGACGAUCAGUAGCUGAUCUGAGAGGAUGAUCAGCCACAUUGGGACUGAGACACGGCCCAAACUCCUACGGGAGGCAGGAGUGGGGAAUCUUGCGCAAUGGGCGAAAGCCUGACGCAGCCAUGCCGCGUGAAUGAUGAAGGUCUUAGGAUUGUAAAAUUCUUUCACCGGGGACGAUAAUGACGGUACCCGGAGAAGAAGCCCCGGCUAACUUCGUG
rnacentral:rRNA from 1 species